CCCGCCAGGGGCACAGCCGGGUAGCCGCGUAUGGAUGUGAUAAACGCUGAAGGCAUCUAAGCGUGAAACACACUUCAAGAUUAGAUAUCCCAUAACGAAAGUUAGUAAGGUCACUUGCAGACUACAAGUUGAUAGGCCACAGGUGGAAGUGCAGAAAUGCAUGCAGCUGAGUGGUACUAAUAGACCGAGGGCUUGAACCUA
rnacentral:rRNA from 1 species